UACGUAGGGUGCGAGCGUUAAUCGGAAUUACUGGGCGUAAAGCGUGACGCAGGCGGUUCGUUGUGUCUGUGGUGAAAGCCCCGGGCUAACCUGGGAAUGGCCUGGAAACUGGCGAGCUGGAGUGUGGCAGAGGGGGGUGGGAAGUUCCGCGUGUAGCAGUGAAAUGCGUAGAGAUGCGGAGGAACACCUGUGGCGAAAGCGGCUCACUGGACCACAACUGACGCUGAGGCACGAAAGCUAGGGGAGCAAACAGG
rnacentral:rRNA from 1 species